GAGAGUGUGGCUCAGUGGUAGAGCGCUUGCCUAGCAUGCAUGAAGCCCUGGGUUCGAUUCCUCAGCACCA
rnacentral:tRNA from 1 species